rnacentral:rRNA from 1 species
UGGGGAAUUUUGGACAAUGGGCGAAAGCCUGAUCCAGCAAUGCCGCGUGUGUGAAGAAGGCCUUCGGGUUGUAAAGCACCUUUGUCCGGAAAGAAAUCCUUGGCUCUAAUACAGUCGGGGGAUGACGGUACCGGAAGAAUAAGCACCGGCUAACUACGUGCCAGCAGCCGCGGUAAUACGUAGGGUGCAAGCGUUAAUCGGAAUUACUGGGCGUAAAGCGUGCGCAGGCGGUUUGCUAAGACCGAUGUGAAAUCCCCGGGCUCAACCUGGGAACUGCAUUGGUGACUGGCAGGCUAGAGUAUGGCAGAGGGGGGUAGAAUUCCACGUGUAGCAGUGAAAUGCGUAGAGAUGUGGAGGAAUACCGAUGGCGAAGGCAGCCCCCUGGGCCAAUACUGACGCUCAUGCACGAAAGCGUGGGGAGCAAAACAGGAUUAGAUACCCUGGUAGUCCACGCCCUAAAACGAUGUCAGCUAGUUGUUGGGGAUUCAUUUCCUUAGUAACGUAGCUAACGCGUGAAGUUGACCGCCUGGGGAGUACGGUCGCAAGAUUAAAACUCAAAUGAAUUGAC